ensembl:lncRNA
ACGUCCCGCACGGAGCCGCCGCCGCGUGAGGGCGGCGCAGGUCUCAUCGAAAUGAAUGCUUCCAGGUGUUAUUUUAGGGCCGGUUAAACAGAAAGGGCGAGGACGUGCCCGCGGGAGGGAUCCUUGAGCUGCAGAGCUGCUGCAGUGUGGGCGGCCAUCUGCGUGCGUCGGCCUGCAGCGCUCAGCUGGGACUGAAGGACCGAGAGCAGAACUGACAGCGUGGUUUUACACGGCCCCCACCGAGUCAUCAUUUUCCAGAUAACUGUGGAAAACCGUCUUCUCAGGCGAUACGCUUUUCAGAAGUGUGGUUUGACAAAAAAAUGGGCCUGUCUCACAUGUUUGGAUAGCCAACAAUGCACCGCAAUGGGCUGCAUGUUGUACAAGGAAGGCCAUGGGCUCAUGGCUUGGGCUAACGUUUGCUGGCAGGUUGAUGUGUUGCCGUUCUGACUCAAUAGAUGCUUGUGAGGAAGGUCUGGUAGCAAGUCAAAUGCUUGAUCAUUGCUCUUUGCUGAUGGCAGAGCUAAACGUGGAUGAACAGUCUGCAGCAGAACAGCGAAAGCCAGAGGAAACAGAAAAAAUGCACUUACGAGAAACCAAACAUGAAGGUAUGCAGACUGAAACAUCCCAUCUGCACCAGUGCUGGAGCAGAAGAUGAGGAGUGGGAGCCCUGUGGUGUGAGAGUUGUCUGAAGGCUCUGAGAAGCCCGGACAGGCCUCAAGGCAGGUCAGAAACAUCCAUUCAGCCACGUUAUUUGGCAAUCCCCGUGGCAUUAUCCAUAACUUUUAAGUCCUAGUCUGGGUUCAAAUUAAGAUAGGUCAGCUGACAGUCUCAAUAUUCACUGCAAAGUAAAUCUAGAUUGGAUCCAAAGGUCCCUCCUGCAAGUGCAAAUUAGUAAACCCAUUCUGAGCUUCCAGUGGCCAGCAGGGUUCUUGUAAAACAGAGACCAGAGUGCAGCGCUGGUGUCACCAGUAGGUUGGGCAGUCCAGCACUUCUGAUGCUGCAGUGAUGUUCACCACGGCCCAAGAAGCAAAUUCUGAACUGGUCCCGAAUCCAGCUUUCCCUGAGUCCAGAUUUGCUUUCCUCAGUACGAGAAUUCAUUCAGUACUACAAGGCCUUCUAUUGCAAAGCUUGCGUGCCAUCUCUUAGCAGUAAAAAAGCAUGAAGGAGAAAUGUCAUAGUGCAUGGCAUGCACACGGUAACCUGAGCACCCGCAGUAAUACAAGAUGCAAGUUGGUUUAUAGCAAAGCUGCUUGAGGAGAGGGGGCAGUGAGACACUCACGAGCCCUCAGUUAGCAGAGGGUGGUCAGGAAUGAAGGACCCCAGGAAUCAUUUUGGCUGAAUUUGGAAAGAAUCAAAUAGUAAAAAUACCUCAAAACUAUUUCCAACACAGAAGUGAAAUACAGGAAUAGAAGUAUAGGAAUAGUCCAUGUGCUUCCAGUGCAGUAUCCCACCAAUAAAAUGUGACUCGGUAGGACUAACUCCACCACAAAUAUAUACAUGUAAUAG